GAGUGGAGCCUGCGGCUUAAUUUGACUCAACACGGGAAAACUCACCUGGUCCGGACACUGGAAGGAUUGACAGAUUGAAAGCUCUUUCUUGAUUCAGUGGGUGGUGGUGCAUGGCCGUUCUUAGUUGGUGGAGUGAUUUGUCUGGUUAAUUCCGAUAACGAACGAGACUCUAGCCUGCUAACUAGUUCGCCGACAGCUCGUUGUCGCGCGGCGCCAUUUCGGUGGCAAACUUCUUAGAGGGACAGGUGGCGUAUAGCCACACGAAGUAGAGCAAUAACAGGUCUGUGAUGCCCUUAGAUGUCCAGGGCCGCACGCGCGCUACACUGAAAGAAUCAACGUGGAUGCCCACCUGCUCCGAGAGGAGUGGGAAACCCGAUGAAUCUCUUUCGUGAUGGGGAUUGGGGCUUGUAAUUAUUCCCCAUGAACGAGGAAUUCCCAGUAAGCGUCAGUCAUCAGCUGGCGUUGAUUACGUCCCUGCCCUUUGUACACACCGCCCGUCGCUACUACCGAUUGAAUGGUUUAGUGAGACCCUCGGACUGGAAUCCGUUUGCUGCUUUCGGGUGGCGGACGGGGACGGAAAGACGGUCG
rnacentral:rRNA from 1 species